rnacentral:rRNA from 1 species
AACGAACGCUGGCGGCAGGCCUAACACAUGCAAGUCGAACGGUCUGACCACCCUCGGGUGGUCUAGAUAGUGGCGCACGGGUGCGUAACGCGUGGGAAUGUACCCCUAGGUAAGGAAUAAUGUCUGGAAACGGGCACUAAUACCUUAUAAUGACUCCGGUCCAAAGAUUUAUCGCCUAGGGAUCAGCCCGCGUUAGAUUAGAUAGUUGGUGAGGUAACGGCUCACCAAGUCGACGAUCUAUAGGGGGUCUGAGAGGAUGAUCCCCCACACUGGGACUGAGACACGGCCCAGACUCCUACGGGAGGCAGCAGUGAGGAAUAUUGGACAAUGAGGGAAACCCUGAUCCAGCCAUGCCGCGUGAGUGAAGAAGGCCCUAGGGUUGUAAAGCUCUUUCAGAUGUGAGGAUGAUGACAGUAACAUCAGAAGAAGCCC